rnacentral:lncRNA from 1 species
UCCGGGUGUUCCAAAAAAUAGAUUGAAUGCAUGGGCAUCCAUUCUUGAUAUUCUUCUCAUCCAUCAUAUAUCUUUAUUGGUUUUUACAGUGAUUCGAUAACUCAGAGGAUGAGUAUUUGGAUUGUUGUAUAUGCACAAUAAUGUAAAUUUCUUGUAUAAGGUUACAGUUUCAACCAUGGCUUCAAAAAUGACAGAAAAAAUAACAGGUUGUCAUGU